UACGUAGGGUGCAAGCGUUGUCCGGAAUUAUUGGGCGUAAAGAGCUCGUAAGCGGCCUGUCACGUCGACUGUGAAAACCCGAGGCUCAACCUCGGGCCUGCAGUCGAUACGGGCAGGCUAGAGUUCGGUAGGGGAGACUGGAAUUCCUGGUGUAGCGGUGAAAUGCGCAGAUAUCAGGAGGAACACCGGUGACGAAGGCGGGUCUCUGGGCCGAAACUGACGCUGAGGAGCGAAAGCGUGGGGAGCGAACAGG
rnacentral:rRNA from 1 species